GUCCCUGUAGCGCGAUGCGUUGGACUUCUAAUCCAAAGGUUGUGCGUUCGAAUCCCACCUGGGAUG